rnacentral:rRNA from 1 species
AUUGAACGCUGGCGGCAGGCCUAACACAUGCAAGUCGAACGGUAACAGGAAGAAGCUUGCUUCUUUGCUGACGAGUGGCGGACGGGUGAGUAAUGUCUGGGAAACUGCCUGAUGGAGGGGGAUAACUACUGGAAACGGUAGCUAAUACCGCAUAACGUCGCAAGACCAAAGAGGGGGACCUUCGGGCCUCUUGCCAUCGGAUGUGCCCAGAUGGGAUUAGCUAGUAGGUGGGGUAACGGCUCACCUAGGCGACGAUCCCUAGCUGGUCUGAGAGGAUGACCAGCCACACGGGAACUGAGACACGGACCAGACGCCUACGGGAGGCAGCAGUGGGGAAUAUUGCACAAUGGGCGCAAGCCUGAUGCAGCCAUGCCGCGUGUAUGAAGAAGGCCUUCGGGUUGUAAACCGCUUUCGCCUGUGACGAAGCGUGAGUGACGGUAAUGGGUAAAGAAGCACCGGCUAACUACGUG